rnacentral:rRNA from 1 species
CGGGGUUAGGAGUAACGCGUGAGGAACCUGCCUCAAAGAAGGGGGACAACAGUUGGAAAGACUGCUAAUACCGCAUAAGCCCACGGCUCGGCAUCGAGCAGAGGGAAAAGGAGCAAUCCGCUUUGAGAUGGCCUCGCGUCCGAUUAGCUAGUUGGUGAGGUAACGGCCCACCAAGGCAACGAUCGGUAGCCGGACUGAGAGGUUGAACGGCCACAUUGGGACUGAGACACGGCCCAG